ACAACCUUAAAUCCGGAGAUUUCCGAAUGGGGCAACCCAGCCCGGGUUAUGCCGGGUUACUCCCACUUGAAUAUAUAGGGUGGGUAGAGCCAACGGGGAGAACUGACACAUCUAAGUACCCCCAGGAAAAGAAAAUAAUAAUGAUUUCCUAAGUAGCGGCGAGCGAACAGGAAAGAGCCUAAACCGUUAACGUGUCAAGCCCAAGAGCGUUGCGCUAGCGGUGUUGUGGGACUGAAAUAGAAUUAAUCUUGGUUAAUUCGGUAAGUCAAAAAAUCAAUUGUUAAAUGAAUUGGUAUGGAAAGGCCAGCCAUAGAAGGUGAUAGCCCUGUAAUUAAAAACAAGCGAUCUUGCCCAUUUCAGCACCCGAGUAACACGGAACACGAGAAAUUUUGUGUGAAUCUGCCGGGACCAUCCGGUAAGGCUAAAUACUCCUAUGUGACCGAUAGUGAACUAGUACCGUGAGGGAAAGGUGAAAAGUACUCCUAGCGGAGAGUGAAAUAGAACCUGAAACNGUGCGCUUACAAGCGGUCGGAGCCUCNAUUUAUNNGGGUGACGGCGUGCCUUUUGCAUAAUGAUCCAGCGAGUUGCUCGUAUGUUGCNAGGUUAAGAUUUAAANAUCGNAGCCAUAGGGAAACCGAGUCUNAAUAGGGCGAUUUAGUAGCAUGCGGCAGACCCGAAACCGAGUGAUCUAGCCAUGACCAGGUUGAAGGUGCGGUAACACGCACUGGAGGACCGAACCAGGGUACGUUGAAAAGUGCUUGGAUGAGUUGUGGCUAGGGGUGAAAGGCCAAUCAAACUCGGAGAUAUCUGGUUCUCGUCGAAAUGCCUUUAGGGGCAGCGUUGCAUUAGUGUAUCGGGGGUAGAGCACUGAAUGGGCUAGGGGGCCUACAAGCUUACCAAACCCAAUCAAACUCCGAAUACCGAAUACAUGUUGUGCAGCAGUGAGGCUAUGGGAGAUAAGUUUCAUAGCCAAGAGGGAAACAACCCAGAUCAUCAGCUAAGGUCCCAAAAUUGAUACUAAGUGAUAAAGGAUGUGGAAUCGCCCAGACAGCUAGGAGGUUGGCUUAGAAGCAGCCAUCCUUUAAAGAAAGCGUAAUAGCUCACUAGUCAAGGGGUUCUGCGCCGAUAAUUUCCGGGACUAAGUAUCAUACCGAAGCUAUGGGAUUUAUUCGAUUUGAAUAAAUCGGUAGACGAGCGUUCUAUUAACCUGUGAAGGUUGACCCGUGAGGGCAGCUGGAGGAGAUAGAAAUGAGUAUGCUGGAAUGAGUAGCGAUAAAGCCCGUGAAAUCCGGGCUCGCCGUAAGCCCAAGGUUUCCUGAGUAAAGUUAAUCUGCUCAGGGUUAGUCGGACCCUAAGCCGAGGCCGAAAGGCGUAGGCGAUGGAAAACAGGUUUAAUAUUCCUGUACCAGUUUAAUAUUGUUUGAACUAUGGGGGGACGCAGAAGUGAAAGGAGAUCCCGGUUUUGAUUGUCCGGGUUUAAGAGUGUAGGAAGUUUUGGUAGGCAAAUCCGCCGAAAUAAUUCUGAGANUCGAAUAGGAGGGCCUAGCCCAUAAACUCUCCCUAAUCANNCUGNCAAGAAAAUCCUCUAUGUUAGANNUNAANCUGACCGUACCGUAAACGGACACACGUAGGCGAGGAGAGAAUCCUAAGGCGCUUGAGAGAAUCCAAGUAAAGGAACUCGGCAAAUUAGCCCCGUAACUUCGGGAGAAGGGGUGCCACUUAAGGAGAAGAACUUUNCGUUCNNAUUUUUAAGUGGCCGCAGUGACCAGGCCCAAGCGACUGUUUACUAAAAACACAGGUCUCUGCUAAGUCGUAAGACGAUAUAUAGGGACUGACACCUGCCCGGUGCUGGAAGGUUAAAUGGAGAGGUUAGCUUNUGCGAAGCUUUGAAANGAAGCCCCAGUAAACGGCGGCCGUAACUAUAACGGUCCUAAGGUAGCGAAAUUCCUUGUCGGGUAAGUUCCGACCUGCACGAAUGGU
rnacentral:rRNA from 1 species